rnacentral:lncRNA from 1 species
UCUAAUUUUUGCAAGAUUAGAAUAUGGCGAGAAGGGUAUCUGAGUCCGCGUCUCUCACUCCUCCGGUCUUCCCUUCUUUUGUCACGCGAAAAAGCAAAAGGGGUUAGAGACUUAGAGUGCAGAUGAGCAAGUGAACUGGGCAGUGUCACGUGAAGAGAGGGCGAGAGAAGCCUUAAAUCAUUAUAGAAACCAACAAAGAUGAAAGCAAGACGGACUUUGCUAGCUUACAGAAUCUGUAAGUUACAGACUGCACCAUCAUCCGUUGGAUGUGGAGUGAGAAAUUAAACAAUAAAAGAUUGGAUGGUGGGAUGGUGGGAGAUGUUAGUUACAGAAGCUGCACCAUAGACAGGUUCAAGAAAGACACGUGAAGCGGAUUUGGUCAUCAUGUAAUAAUGCGCCAACACCAAUGUACAGAUGCAGGUUACAUCAUACAGUGGCAUGGAUACCCUCUGACAUAUCUUUUCACUAUCAAUCUUAGUUAGUCUUAAGUUUCACUCCACACGCCGCUCGCCGCCGGCUAGGCCUGCCACAAGGCGCCUACCUACGGUUUAGGUUUUAGUUAGGGAUGGCUAUUAUUUGUUUGUUAAAAGAUAAUUUAUAUUUGGGAGUCCCUAUAUUAGAUUGGGGUAGUGUUUACUUUUUGGAUUGGAUUAAAAAUCUUACAGAGUAGGAAUCUUAGGAUUGGGAGUGUGGAGUGGAAGUGUGAGUAGGUUGUUUACUU